CACGGGCACUUCCGCCCACGUGCGCGUCGCGACAGGAAGUGAGGACAUGGGUCGCCGCGGGGAACGCCGGGAUUGGUCCGGCCAGGUGAGAUUCUUCAGAGGCUCAAGGACAUGCAGUGUCACAGCAGACGGAGUCACAAGGAGCUGUGACAGUCCAUUCAGUAUGGGAAGGAGUUCCAGAAUAUAAAAUGGUGCUGAUCUUCUAUCAAGCUUUUUUGUUUGAGAAAAUAUUGUUAUUUUAUUAAAAUGUUAGUGAUGUUAUGAUGUAUUUCUUAUUAUUGAGGAUUUUUGUUGUUAUUAUAAGUGAAUCAAUAAAUUAGUUUUUAAAAAUUUU